UACGUAGGGUGCGAGCGUUGUCCGGAAUUAUUGGGCGUAAAGGGCUCGUAGGCGGUUUGUCGCGUCGGGAGUGAAAUCCACUGGCUUAACUGGUGGCUUGCUUUCGAUACGGGCAGACUGGAGGUAUGCAGGGGAGAACGGAAUUCCUGGUGUAGCGGUGAAAUGCGCAGAUAUCAGGAGGAACACCGGUGGCGAAGGCGGGUCUCUGGGCCGAUACUGACGCUGAGGAGCGAAAGCAUGGGUAGCGAACAGG
rnacentral:rRNA from 1 species